rnacentral:tRNA from 1 species
AUCAAGUUAGUUUAGAUAAAACUUCAGGAUGUGGGCUUGAUAAAAUAGAUUGACUCUAUACUUGAUA